UGAAAAAUCAACUCUUGCAAUGGUGAAGUUGAAUUUUAGAACUUGCAUUUUUAAAAUGUUGAAAAUGUCGUUGGAGAGCUUGAGUGUCCCGUCGUGCCUUGGGAGUUUAUUGUGGGGGUUUUUCUUCAAUAUUAGAACUUUGAAAACUUUAAUAUUUUGAAGCUGUUUUCAAAAGCAUUUGCACUUUAAAGGAAACAGGUUUAGAAUAAUGUAACUCUGCUUACCUGGAUUGCAGUCUGUAAGAAGAGAACAAAUGGAGAGAAGAACUUUGGAGAUCGUCAGUGCUGGGCUCCAGUUAUCCUUCAAAAUAUCGAGACAGAUCACUCCUUGGCUGUUGAUAUUGCAAUGAUAGAUUCUCGUUCGGAACGUCACCUGUCAAAUUACGAUAAAAUCAGCUUCCACGUGAAUUUAAUCAAGCACUUUUGAUGUUUAAACUCCACAUAACUAUAAACUUAUUCCAACAAAAACUGUAAUAAACUAAAUGAAACAACCUUGCUGCACUCAGAGGAUCAUAAGAUACUACUUUCAGAGAAACCUCAAAGACCAUUUCUGCCUCAAAUAAAAUUAUACCCUCAAAAGGUAACCAUAUUUUCUAUCGUUUGAGAAAAUAGAUAGCUCAACUUAUUCAGAAGAAUACUCUCACUCUGUUACCGAGCAAUUUAUUUUUUCCGCCUGCUCUGGAUGAAUGCUGUAAUAGCAACUGGAUGCUUAUAACGGGAUCGGAUAGAGCAUGACCAAUGUACCUUUGGAAGUAGCUGCACAACUUAAAAGACUGAGCCCGGUGAAAAUGAAGAAAAUGGUGCAUUGACUAAAUGGCAACCACAGAUGUAUGAUUUUGCUGCAGGUGCAUAAUCCAGUCAAAUACAUUGUGAUGACUUUGGAGGUUCUGAUAAUAUUAUUAAACUACAUUUUACAAU